UACGUAGGUGGCAAGCGUUGUCCGGAAUCACUGGGCGUAAAGCGCGCGCAGGCGGCGAUCUACGUCUGGGGUGAAAGCCCGGAGCUCAACUCUGGGACUGCCUUGGAUACGGGAUCGCUUGAGGAUUGGAGAGGCAAGGGGAAUUCCACGUGUAGCGGUGAAAUGCGUAGAUAUGUGGAGGAACACCUGUGGCGAAGGCGCCUUGCUGGCCAAUUUCUGACGCUGAGGCGCGAAAGCGUGGGGAGCGAACAGG
rnacentral:rRNA from 1 species